UACGUAGGGACCAAGCGUUGUUCGGAUUUACUGGGCGUAAAGGGCGCGUAGGCGGCUUAACAAGUCACUUGUGAAAUCUCCGGGCUUAACUCGGAACGGCCAAGUGAAACUGUCAAGCUAGAGUGCAGAAGGGAGCAAUCGGAAUUCUUGGUGUAGCGGUGAAAUGCGUAGAUAUCAGGAGGAACACCGGUGGCGAAGGCGGACU
rnacentral:rRNA from 1 species